AUACGGAGGGUGCGAGCGUUAAUCGGAAUUACUGGGCGUAAAGCGUGCGUAGGCGGUUUGCUAAGUCAGAUGUGAAAGCCCCGGGCUUAACCUGGGAACUGCACUUGAUACUGGCAGACUAGAGUAUGAUAGAGGGGGGUAGAAUUCCUGGUGUAGCGGUGAAAUGCGUAGAUAUCAGGAGGAAUACCAGUGGCGAAGGCGGCCCCCUGGAUCAAUACUGACGCUGAGGUACGAAAGCGUGGGGAGCGAACAGGAUUAGAAACCCUAGUAGUCC
rnacentral:rRNA from 1 species